rnacentral:misc_RNA from 1 species
GAUGAAGAACGUAGCGAAAUGCGACAAGUAAUGUGAAUUGCAGAAUUCCGUGAAUCAUCGAAUCUUUGAACGCACAUUGCGCCCUCUGGUAUUCUGGAGGGCAUGCCUGUCCGAGCGUCAUUUCUGCCCUCCAGCCCGGCUGGGUGUUGGGCGCUGUCCCCCCGGGGACACGCCCCAAAGGCAGUGGCGGCGCCGCGUCGGGUCCUCGAGCGUAUGGGGCUUUGUCACCCGCUCGGGACGGACUCGUCGGCGCUGGUCUUCCUCCAGGCGACCCUUCGGGGCUCGUCUUCCUUCGGUUGACCUCGGAUCAGGUAGGGUUACCCGCUGAACUUAAGCAUAUCAAUAAGCGGAGGA